UGGCCUCAAUCAGUGAAUUUAGAAGGGAAGACAAACGGACCAAUUGGGAAGACAAACGGACCAAUUAAAAGUUUGAUGAUGUUUUGUGAGUCAAAAUAUGACAUUCAUGUGGUUGGUGUCCAUUGAGAUUUUAUCUACAUGACCGCAAAUUAUGUGUUUGAUCUAAGUCGAUGUUGGUUCUACAGGAUUUGUCUCUGUCGUUGUAUUUUCACACCUUAACUUCC
rnacentral:lncRNA from 1 species